rnacentral:lncRNA from 1 species
GUCACCUUAACAGAUCUAAAGGAGAUGUCCUUGUUUCCGGACGGCCCCUUCUUUCCUUAAUCUGGUGCCGGAUGGGGUGGGGCACGGUGCGGGCUUCCGGCGGAAGCGCUGGAAGCAAGAUGGCGGCCGCCGAGAGGGUUCACAAAGGCUCUGGUCCAUUAGAGGAAGGAGGUCCCAGAAUAGCUGGGAAAUUACGAGAACAGCCUCACUGCACGAGUUGGUGAAUGCUGUGGUGCGAUUGUAUGAUGGACGGUGAUGUUGAAACCAGACUGGGGAAUGACCGCCCCAUCCGGAGAGAGACGGGGUCUCGCUCUGUCAUCCAGGAUGGAUUGCAGUGUCAUUGAUCAUAGCUCAAGCGGUCUUCCUGCCUCAGCCUCCCAAAGUGCUGUGAUUACAGGGGUG